rnacentral:rRNA from 1 species
CCUACGGGCGGCUGCAGUCGAGAAUCUUCGGCAAUGCGCGCAAGCGUGACCGAGCGACGCCGUGUGUGGGAUGAAGGCCUUCGGGUUGUAAACCACUGUCGUAGAGGAGGAAGUUCAUUGGGGUUCUCCCCAGUGAUUGACCUAUUCUAGGAGGAAGGACGGGCUAAGUACGUGCCAGCAGCCGCGGUAAUACGUACCGUCCAAACGUUAUUCGGAAUUACUGGGCUUAAAGGGUACGUAGGCGGCGCUGUUAGUCGGGUGUGAAAGCCCUCGGCUCAACCGAGGAAUUGCGCCCGAUACUGCAGUGCUUGAGGGAGACAGAGGUAAGCGGAACUGAUGGUGGAGCGGUGAAAUGCGUUGAUAUCAUCAGGAACACCAGUGGCGAAAGCGGCUUACUGGGUCUCUUCUGACGCUGAGGUACGAAAGCUAGGGGAGCGAAGGGGAUUAGAUACCCGUGUAGUCC